CGCGUAGGUGGCGGCAUAAGGCUGUGGUGAAAGUCCGGGGCUCAACUCCGGAUCGGCCGUGGCAACUGUGUCGCUAGGGUACCGUAGAGGCAGAUGGAAUUCCGGGUGUAGCGGUGGAAUGCGUAGAGAUCCGGAAGAACACCAGUGGCGAAGGCGGUCUGCUGGGCGGUGGGACUGAAAAGUCUCUUGAACCGACACUGAGGCGCGACAGCGUGGGGAGCAAACA
rnacentral:rRNA from 1 species